AAACCCAAUCAACCAAACCAAAAUUCACAAAAAACUAAAUAAAAAACUAAAAACAAAUCAAGUUCAUAAGAAACCACAAUUAAGCAAAAUCCCAAUUAACCAAACCAAAAUCCACACAAUUUCGAAAGAAAAAAAAAUCAAGUUCAUAAUAAACCACAAUUAAGCAAAAACCCAAUUAACCGAAACCAAAAUUCACACAAUUUGACAAAAAAACACGAAAUUAAAAUCAAGAACAACCAAUUAAUGAAGGAAAAACCAUAAUUAAAACAAGAAAGAAAGAAACGAAUACCUAUGCUAUGGUCUCUCUUCUGUUCUGUUCUGUUCACCCUGUCGCUGUCUCUUUCUCUCUCUAAAAUGAAGAGUGAGAGAGAGAUGAGAGUCAGAGAAGCGAAAAGGGGUCAAUGGAAUGUUGUGUUGUUUUGUG
rnacentral:lncRNA from 1 species